rnacentral:ncRNA from 1 species
AGAACGGAUAUUCCAACAGGUGGAAUGAAGGGGUAACGCCCGGAAACGCCUGCCCUAAGACUGCGACAGGCAUGAGCGGCACAAUCCGCAAAAUGUCUGAGAGCUCGCGGAAGUCGGCGGAAGUCUGCCGUAACAACGUGGAAACAUGGUUGACGAAAGCGCGGCAGAGGUGCUGUGUGCAGAUGAUACGCCGGGGGUCUAAAAA